rnacentral:lncRNA from 1 species
UCCUGUAUCCGAUCGCAUUCGCCUUAUCUGCAAUGUUUUAUCAUGAUAUAGCAAGGGUGAGCAUGAAAGUUGCCCAGCAAGUUUAAAUACAACAAUAUAAAGAUAUAUCAUGAUUGAAGAGUAUGAAUAAUAAGCUGGCUAUAAUUCAUCAAUAUAAUUGAGAACUAGCAGGAACAAACUUUUGACUGAACAAGUUUUAAACAUGAACAAACAUUUCUGAACCAACUGGUAAUGAAGGUGACCAGCCUUUCAUACCUGACUUAUACAUGCAAGAUGUACAGAGUACAAUUUUCAUGGCAAUCAGCAAUGAUUAA